AUUGAACGCUGGCGGCAUGCCUUACACAUGCAAGUCGAACGGUAACAGGUCUUCGGAUGCUGACGAGUGGCAAACGGGUGAGUAAUACAUCGGAACGUGCCCAAUCGUGGGGGAUAACGUAGCGAAAGCUACGCUAAUACCGCAUACGAUCUACGGAUGAAAGCAGGGGAUCGCAAGACCUUGCGCGAAUGGAGCGGCCGAUGGCAGAUUAGGUAGUUGGUGGGGUAAAGGCCUACCAAGCCGACGAUCUGUAGCUGGUCUGAGAGGACGACCAGCCACACUGGGACUGAGACACGGCCCAGACUCCUACGGGAGGCAGCAGUGGGGAAUUUUGGACAAUGGGCGCAAGCCUGAUCCAGCCAUGCCGCGUGCAGGAUGAAGGCCUUCGGGUUGUAAACUGUUUUUGUACGGAACGAAACGGCGCUUUCUAAUAAAGAGCGCUAAUGACGGUACCGUAAGAAUAAGCACCGGCUAACUACGUGCCAGCCGCCGCCGUAAAAC
rnacentral:rRNA from 1 species